GCGGCCCUCCGUCUGUUGCUUGCUCCGGUACCACCCCAGCCACGGCGGCGCAACGCUACCAUAUCUCGUGCUUUUAUCCAGAUGUACUGAACCAGGUCCGUCCGAUUCAUUCAUUGAUCUAGGUUUAUUUUAGAGUUUUUGAUUGGGGCAGGGGAGACAUGUUGUCUGCCACGGUCUGCUAGGGGGUCAAUUUGCAGGUUCUUUAGACUAAAUUAUGGUAUCUGUUUCUUCCUGUUGAACCAUUGUACCUUGUAGUGCUACUUCUGAGAGAAGAUGUUACUUAUUACCCUCCAUAUUCCUAUUUUUGUGAUAUCUUAUAGUUGCUUAUUGUCACUCAUCAUUUGUGUCUGAUGCAUUUGUUCUUUUUGUGAUAAUUGUUCCUCUUUUGGUUCAAAAGACGAGCAGGAACAUGAUCUUAACAGAAUACUGCUGUCAUAGUAUCUUCACUUGCAAAGUGAAGGUCGCCUAAGUACAUGGAUGAAUUCCUUUGUUGGUCUGUGUGGUCCAUUUCAAAGAAAGAAUAACCCUGAUGUAAUACUGACAGAUCAGAAGUCAAGCUUUGGUUCUUUCUUUCUGGUCAAUGGUCAUCACUCGUCUGUAGCUGAAAUAACCCACCCUGCUGUAGCCAAACUAAAAGGUCGGUUAUUGUUGAUGUAUUUUUCUUACAUGGAGUAAUAGCUCUCAAGAGCAUAUUUAUUUGCUUGUUUCUACUGCUGUGACUCCACCUCCAAGCAACUCAGAAGAGGGCAACACACACUAUGUCAGGCCUUAAGAAAUUCUUUAGAGAGGUAUCACUAUAUUUGUUUUUCCUACUAUUAUAUAGAAUGAAUCUGUAAUUUCUAAUUGUCUCUCCCAUUGAAGUAUAAGUCCCAAAUUUUAAAUUUUGACCAUUUCUCUUGUUUUUUCCUAUGCAAGAUUUGGUGAUGUAUUUAUAUAAUUCAACCUUCCUAUGAGAAAUCAAAACAAUUUUCAGUUCAUGCCUAAGUUGCUACACUUGUAUUUGUUUAUUCAUUGUGUCCCUUGUUAGCUACUCCUCUGUCCCACAAUAUAAGAUGUUAUUACAACGAAUACAUGGGUUAGCAGGUUGCAAUAGCAUCUUAUAUUAAGGGACGGAGGGAGUAGUAUUUUAUGGCCUUUGCUCAGCAAGUGAUGAUACAAACCAAAGUUUCAUUUUGUGCCUGGACAUACGAGAUAUGCUGGUUUUUGCCAAAUUUGUGCACUAUAAUAGAUAGUAUAUGGGAUAUUGAGAUAUAGAGAACCCUGUCAUUUUCUCUGUGCUGGCAGGGGUUCUUGCUCACCUAGUGAUAUAAAAAGUGCUUACACAAUUGUAGUUUGACUUGCCAAAUGAGAUUUCUACUUAAUUUAUCUUUUUCUUUGUCCGCUAUAGUGGUUUUGACAGUAAUUACAUGAUUUUUGGCAACCUUUAUUUGAUGACGAGAUUGUAAUGAUAAUAUUGAUACUUUUUGGUUAUUUGUCUUAUUAUAGCAUCAGAAUGAGGCCAGCAGGGAUUCAUAUCUUGUGACAUUGCAUAGAUAAUUGUUAAUGAAUUAGUAGGCUAACAUUUCUUCUCUUUUAGAUGUUGGAUAAUGAAUCAAAAGUCAAGAUCAAGUUGCUAUAAUGCUACAAUUAAUCGCACAACCAUUUCUCCUUUCUGAUGAGUGAAAACAAGUAAUGCCAUUUGUGCCAUCGAGGAUACAUAUCUGGCUGUCUGUGUAGAAUUUAUCUUUACAUUUGUUAGGUAAAAUUCGCUACAUAAGGUGGAGCACAAGAUGACAAGUGAGUCUCACUUACAGUAGGUAUUAGUGAAUCAUCAGAAAACUACCUAUCAAAUAGUGAUAAAUGAGUCAUUCAUUAGUAUGUCAUUUUUGAAAUUUCACCAUUACAAAUAGAACUCAACAAAUGCGUAAGCUAUCUUGAUUUAGUUGUUCGAUUGUUCGACUUUUCUAUACGCUCCUUUUGUGUCCAUAUGUUGUGGGGAUCACCUUACUGGAAGUAGUUUUUUAAAACCCGACUGCAUUAGUUAGUUUCUCAAGUAAUUAUGCGGCUACUGGUUAAAGUUUUUAUUUCUUGUCCUGGAAACUAUGUAGUUAACAAAAUGAUAACAUUCAUCUAUGGGCAGAAGCAAAGCCAUACUAUGGUUUAUAUGGCGGCACCUAAUUUACUAGGUUUUACUCAAUCCGCUAUCUGCCAGCUGAGAAGCGAAAGUUACUAUGUUAGUUCCCUUUGACUUUCUAGCUGCCUCAACUGAUAAAAAACCAAAACCAGGAAAUAAUCAGAAAAACAAAGAAUUAGAUUCAGUGAAGGACCCUCACUUGGUUGCUGGUGGACAGCAAAGGAUUCCGUUGAUACCCUUCUAGUUUUAUUUUUUCCUGCUGACAUACCCUUCUAGUUAAGGACAUAUAUUUACCCAUCCUAGGCUGUUUUACAGAACUGUAAAUCUUGGUCCCUAGCUAGCCCAGCUGACGACUGCCACAUCGACUUGGGCUCUCGUGACGGGGGAUGUUUUGUGGCCGGUAGUGGGGGAACUUUGCAAGGAGGCCCUUAAAGAAAUUGGACAUACACUUACCGAUUUGUCGCUUUCGUCGUGCUGGACUGUCCAUUUCUGAUCUAACGCUGGAUGUUACCUUUGUCAUGCUGGACUGUCGUGUGCCUUAUUUUGUGAGGGAAAUCGUGUGCUUGCUUAUAGUUAUAAGGUUCUUAUGCUACCUGUGAACCUGAAAUUUAGACUGUACUGAUUGUGCAACAGAAGCUCAGUUUCUAGUCUACUGAUUACAGCUGCAUUUCAUGUACUGGAAUGAAGACUUUGAUUUUUGUGUGUAGGGUGUAAUUUCUGUGGAGGCAUGCAAAGACCCCAACCAAAGAAGAGACUAAGAUCACCAUCAAGAAGCUCAGAUGCAAAAUGAUUGUCGCCAAGACCGUCUCACAUUCCUCGGGAGUUGUCAGAGCCAAGAAGCAAGGAGCAAGAUGUUAGCUGAAAGAAGAGACGGAAGCCACCAGCAACUCCGAAUUCUGAGUCUCUUAUCGGGCAGUAAACAGUUGCAGUUAUAAUGUAAACAAUUGUUGAUAUAGGAGAAAUGCUAGGAAUAGUAGUUUCCAUUAUGAUGCGCUGCUGGCCAAUGUAAUGUUCACUGAAUUCUAUUGACAGGUUGUAAUGUAAACAGGUACAAUGAAUGUUCUAGAGCUAGCUAGCUACGAACAAAAUUUCUUUCCUGCUGUUGUUCA